GGGGUUAUAGGACUGCAUAAUGGUUUUAUUUAAAUGAUUGGAAUGGUUUGGGAAAGCCAUCCAUAGAGGGUGAGAGACCCGUACGAUUGAGUAAAUAAGACUUGGCAGUAUCCUGAGUAGGGCGGGACCGGAGAAAUCCCGUCUGAAUUUGCCGGCACCAUCCGGUAAGGCUAAAUACUCCUGAGAGACCGAUAGUGGACAAGUACCGUGAGGGAAAGGUGAAAAGUACCCUGAAUAAGGGGGUGAAAAGAACCUGAAACCAUGCGCUUACAAGCGGUCGGAGGUUCCGUAGUGGACUGACGGCGUGCCUUUUGCAUAAUGAGCCUACGAGUUACUCUUCACUGGCGAGGUUAAGGCAUUAGAGUGCUGUAGCCGGAGCGAAAGCGAGUCUGAAUAGGGCGCAUAGUCAG
rnacentral:rRNA from 1 species